GAUGAAGAACGUAGCGAAAUGCGAUAAGUAGUGUGAAUUGCAGAAUUCAGUGAAUCAUCGAAUCUUUGAACGCACAUUGCGCCCUUUGGUAUUCCAAAGGGCAUGCCUGUUCGAGCGUCAUUUGUACCCUCAAGCUUUGCUUGGUGUUGGGCGUCUUGUCUCUAGCUUUGCUGGAGACUCGCCUUAAAGUAAUUGGCAACCGGCCUACUGGUUUCGGAGCGCAGCACAAGUCGCACUCUCUAUCAGCAAAGGUCUAGCAUCCAUUAAGCCUUUUUUUCAACUUUUGACCUCGGAUCAGGUAGGGAUACCCGCUGAACUUAAGCAUAUCAAUAAGCGGAGGA
rnacentral:misc_RNA from 1 species